UGUGAUGACAGGUACACCAGGUCCAGGUCUCGGGGGCUCAGAGCAUCACUGGAGUCAUAGUCGCUGUCGGUGGGAAGGAAGACUUCUGAGCAGCCUUCUUCAUCAGAGCAGGGCUGUGAAUCUGCAAAGCCAGAGACCCGGGUUAGAAAAGAAACUCUUAGCCGGGGCGUGCUUCAUGGAGUCAGGUUGUACAUUUCCGUGGGGCAAGGACUGUCUUAAAAAUCCUUUGAAUUUCCCACAGAACUCAGCCCAAGGGUGGCACAGUCUUUGUAAGCAAGACAAAAUCCUAGACGUCAGAGAAGUGACAAAUUUGACUGCAUCACAGUUUAAUACUUUGUAAACCAAAUGAUACUAUAAACAAAGUAAAAAG